CCUACGGGUGGCAGCAGUGGGGAAUAUUGCACAAUGGGCGCAGCCCUGAUGCAGCGACGCCGCGUGAGUGAAGAAGUAUUUCGGUAUGGAAAGCUCUAUCAGCAGGGAAGAUAAUGACGGUACCUGACUAAGAAGCCCCGGAUAACUACGUGCCAGAAGCCGCGGGAAUACGUAGGGGGCAAGCGUUAUCCGGAUUUACUGGGUGUAAAGGGUGCGUAGGUGGCAGGGCAAGUCAGAUGUGAAAGCCCGGGGCUCAACCCCGGUACUGCAUGUGAAACUGCCCCGCUGGAGUGCAGGAGAGGUAAGCGGAAUGCCUAGUGUAGCGGUGAAAUGCGUAGAUAUUAGGAGGAACACCAGUGGCGAAGGCGGCUUACUGGACUGUAACUGACACUGAGGCACGAAAGCGUGGGGAGCAAACAGGAUUAGAUACCCGGGUAGUC
rnacentral:rRNA from 1 species